CAGGCUCUGUGUUCACAGGGGUGGCCGGGCGGCACCUGAGGGGGCAGCCAGGAGAGCUCCAGCUCCUCACUGAGGCCCUUCAAGCCCUGAGGAGAGAUGACAGCCCUUCCCAGAAAAACAUAGUUGUUAAACAGAUAUUCAGUUGGAGAGUUACAGAACUGGCACAGAAGAACCAGCGUUUGUAGAAGACCUGCAAAUGCCAUGGAAGAUGAGAUUGCCUUGAGACCAGAAGAGACCAGCUGGAGCUCCAGGCACAGCUGAUAACUGGCACAGCUGAGCCUGUGGGAAACUUGCAUGGCUUCAGCCCUCUCCCUGCUUAUAGAUAGUUCCCUCCCUCCAGCCCUCAGACUCUGCCUAUCCCUUCUUUUUCCCCUCCAUUCUCCCUCCCUUUUCACGGCUCUUUCCCUCUAGUCCUCAGAUCCUGCCCUUCCCCUUUUUCCCCACCCAGCUCAUUCCUUUGCUUCUCCUUUCAUUAAUAAACAGUUUGGCUUCUUCACUUUGCCUGCAUCUUUGUGGAGAUGAAGUAGCACAAAUCCAGGGCCCUGGGACACACAGGCCCCUGCUGCCGUUCUCUGCCACGCCGUGUUUUGUGCACAGAGCCAGAGGAACGAGGGCAGCUCAGGCUGGCACGGUCCCCGUGCUGAAGGUGCAGUUGACCCUGUGGACAUCUCUAAACUCUCCCUGCCACAGCAUUGCUGGGUUUUGUUUUCUCUCAUUCCCUGAUCCUCUCUCUGCUUCCUGCAGAUUUUCCUCCUGCAGGUGUUUCUGUGUGUCUGAUCUCUCCCUACCAGCACUCACAGACCCCAAAUCUCUGUGCACUCUCCUUGACUUUACAGAACCCUGCCUGUUUGCAGGGAACUGGCUGGGGGCAGGUUCUGUUUGCAGCUUGGAGAAAGGACGGCUCAGACUGAGCCUGAUGGGUCCAGCAAAGGUGAUGCUGCUGCUGUUCAUGGGCAGAGAAGCUGAAGGCACAAUAGGGAUCUCCUGUGAGCCUACUGGUCACUAAAAUAACAGUUCAGAUAUCUCAGUCAUGUGUCAAAAUUCACAACUAAUAAUUCAUAAUCAUCCCUUAAUAUUUAUCCCCCCUCACUGCCACUCUCCAAUAGUAGGGAUUCAUCCCCGCUCCGUUCCACUCUCCAGUAGUAGGAAUCUGAACACAAAGUCUUAGGAAAUUUCCUCAUUUUUAUCAAAAUCCUUUUCGGGGAAAUAUUCUAUGACUGA